rnacentral:lncRNA from 1 species
UAAACUGGCAAGUGUGAGGUUACACUCAGACAUCUGAGACAGUAAUAGCCCUCCUAGGCUGAAACACCUAAAGGAUGAGCUGAACUUCCCUGGUGAACACACCCCAGAGACACCAGGAUAAGUCAGUUUAGAGAUCUGGCCGUCUGGUUUUAUAAAACAAACAAUCCCCCAAACACAAGUGUGCUGGCAGGAAUUAAUACAGCUGGUUUGACUCCUCUGAGACAUGGCUUGCUCAAGGUGAAAAGCCUGCUGGGCUUUCUUUAUCUGGCUGGUUAACAACUGUCAUAAAUAAGGAAAUUCUGAACAAUAGAAUUCAUAGAACUCAGAACACAGAGUGAC